AUCUACUACAUAUAUUUGCAUAUGUUUGAUAUCCUCUCUGUUGACUUGACACUUUGAGCGUGUUAAAUUCUUUAAUUUCCAGCAAAGAUGAAAUAGCCAUGAGCUAUAUAAUCUGUUUGAUGCAGCUGUUGGAAGCUCAGAAGCUUCUACGUAAUACAAUUGGAACUGAGAAGUGACACCUCCACUGACAUCUCAUUUGCAAUUUACC